UACGUAGGGGGCAAGCGUUGUCCGGAUUUAUUGGGCGUAAAGAGCGUGUAGGCGGCCAGACAGGUCCGUUGUGAAAACUCGAGGCUCAACCUCGAGACGCCGAUGGAAACCGUCUGGCUAGAGUCCGGAAGAGGAGAGUGGAAUUCCUGGUGUAGCGGUGAAAUGCGCAGAUAUCAGGAAGAACACCCGUGGCGAAGGCGGCUCUCUGGGACGGUACUGACGCUGAGACGCGAAAGCGUGGGGAGCAAACAGG
rnacentral:rRNA from 1 species